rnacentral:rRNA from 1 species
CCUACGGGUGGCAGCAGUGGGGAAUUUUGCGCAAUGCUCGUCCGAGUGACGCAGCGACGCCGCGUGAAUGACGAAGGCCUUCGGGUCGUAAAGUUCUUUCGACAGGGAAGAAAAUGCAUAUAAGUAACUGUGUAUGUAUUGACGGUACCUGUAUAAGCAGCCCCGGCUAACUCCGUGCCAGCAGCCGCGGUAAUACGGAGGGGGCGAGCGUUGUUCGAAGGGACUGGGCGUAAAGAGCACGUAGGCGGUGUUGUAAGUCAUUAGUCAAAGACUAGAGCUAAACUUUAGUAAGGCUAGUGAUACUAUAAUACGAGAGUAUCAGAGAGGAUUGCAGAAUUCCUGGUGUAGCGGUGAAAUGCGUAGAUAUCAGGAAGAAUACCGUUAGCGAAGGCGGCAAUCUGGCUGGAAACUGACGCUGAGGUGCGAAAGCGUGGGUAGCAAACAGGAUUAGAUACCCUUGUAGUC